AGGCGUUGUUUUUGCUCAUGUCAGAGUUGACAUUUUAAUACAAAAACUUUCAUGAUUGAUCGUUUAGUUUUAAUAUAAGAAGCAAAAAAUUGUUAGUUCAUUCUUCAGAAUUACUUUGUGUUUCUUUCCUUGGACUAAAUAUUUACGUCGUCACAGAGGAGCUAUGUUUUCCCGAAUUCUUGUCGCUCUUGUUAUCGCAGUGAUCCUGGGUGUGGUCAGCGGUCAGUAUGGUUAUUACUAUGGUGAUGGUUCGGACAGGCCUGAUUAUGACAGACCUGACUAUAACGGACCCGACAACUACUAUCAUAUGAGACCGCCUAUGCCAUUUAUGAGAGGCCCAUUCUUCCAUCACAUGAGACGUCCAAUGUACUGGUAAAUAGUGGUAAGAGAGAUGCCACACAUUGCCUGUUGUUUACACAAAAACAUGAGAGUGAAAUAUACUGAUGACAAUUGUAAAUUGUUGCUCUGUAAAUGUUAUUUCCAAGUCAUUUAAUGCACUGAUAUAUAAUUCAUGUUUAUAUACAUGUAUAUUAAAAUAUGUUAUAUUGUUUUA